UUCACUGCAUUUGUGGCCUGGAAACAUUCCACUGCAUGCGGUUUAGCAGGUGAGGGGCGAAGCUAAUGACCUAGAGUUAUAUGGAAAGUUAUUGGCUCAUGAUGAUUCAGCUGGCAUCUUGAGGUGCCCCAGUAGAGAGAUUGCACCUCUUAUCAAAGCAAGAGUAUGGUCAGGGAUUAUGCAAUUUGGCGUUAGACCAAUUUAGUAGUGAGCCUGCUGUAUUCUGAACCCUCGUGCAGCUGGUGAGGCUUCUGAGGAAAGCUGUACUUUGUAGUCUACUUUGGGAGCUGGCAA